rnacentral:piRNA from 1 species
GCUAUAAGUUAUGGACUUGGAAGA